UGGCGCCCCCCCCCACGUGACUGCAAUGGGCUGUCCAGUGCCUUGACCGCUCUAUCUCUCUGGCUCUCUGGUCAAGUUCCCCUCGGAAGCCUGAGCUGAAGAGGCAACACAAAGUCCUUCACUUCCACCCAAGCAGACCCGUGCAUUUUUAAAAAGUUGCUGUUUAUUCGAAGAUCCAAACAGGCUCCCAACUUUGUUCCGUCCUCCUCCAUCAGCCCCCACGCUCUGGCCCAUGCUGGGCAUGCUGGCCCAGAGAUCCACGUAGGAAGAACAGGGUCACCAUGUGAUAAAAGGAUGAACACGUGGGGCGUUGAACACAAGACGCUGCCUGGUACUGCAUCAGGCCUUGUUGCCCAUCCAAGCAUUGUCCACUCAGACUGGGAGUGGCUCUCCAGGAUUUCGGGUAUUUUACGUCAUUUACUGCCCGAUCCUUUUAACUGGAGAUGCCGGAGAUUGAACCGGGGCCAAGCUGACGCUUCACAGCCCCUCUCCUCAUUUGGCUUCUGCUGAGCUUGGACAAGGCUAAAGCCAACAAGCCAACAAAAUUCCCUCCCAUCUAAGUGACAGCCAAUGUCUUUGUGCAGCUGGAAGACCUGCAGGCUGCCAUAGAAGACUCUGACGCAGGCACUCGAUUUAAUCCCAAUGCAUCACAGCCAUUCAAACUGCGAGGAAAAGAACUCCUUGCACCUGUGGAGAAACUGCCAAGAGCCACUGCCCUGUUUACUGAAGCAAUCAAAUUAAACCCCCAUGUUCCUGACUUGCAUACUAGCACAGCCAGGACUUUCCUGCAGCUGCAUCUAGCCAAUGCUGCCAUAAGAGACUGCAACCGAGCUAUAUCCCUAAACCCUCACUCAGCAUUAUCAUAUCAGUGCCGUGGGGCAGCGUGCCGUCAUGUCCGACACUGGCAAGAGGCCGCUGAAGAUCUGGCUUUGGCCUGUCAAUUCGAUUAGGACGGAAGCACCUCUGCAAUGCUAGAGGAGGUCCCAGCCGAGGCCCGCAAAAUGGCUCUGCCGGCAGGGCAUGACUAGGAUGUCACAUCUGAAG